rnacentral:lncRNA from 1 species
UAGCCUUCGGAGCACAUGUACAAAUGGCGAGAAUAUUUGAUUUUCUUUGUUCAGAAGAGUAAUUUUCUGUCGAAGUUUUUCGUUUUAUUUGGAGGAAGUUUAUUGACAUGCUGUAACACUUGAGUGUUUGGAUUCUUUGAAAACCACUGAUGAUGCCCCACCCUGUCUGCCUCUUCAUCAAUUCCAGUUGUUGAUAUAAAGCUAUGUGUAAAUGAGAUGACACAGUUUUAUCAUCAUUUCUAAUAGGAGAUUUUAUCUUGGAAUUUUACCCUGUGUGAUGAUUGGAAAAUAAAAGGAUGGCGAGUCAGAGACCAAAACGAAGGAUCAUUCCAAACAAAAAAUUGGUAACACCAUUUGGAUGAUUUCUGUACCAACUAGUACCCUAUUCAGACUAGCGUCGCAUUGCGAUAUGUUGUAACAAUUGUAAUACCCAAUCACAAUCCACAAUCGUGUGUCGAAAGCUUGCCAAUAUAAUCGAUAUUGCAAAUUGUUGCCUGUUAUGAUUGGUACUACAGUCUUUUAUUCCCGAUUACCAUGGAAUGCGAUCACAACAAAUCAACGGAUUGGCUGAGAUUAGUCAACAUAGGCCUAGCAGUACCGUUUGAGCUCCCGUUCUAAUAUAAAAGUGUGAUUCGUCUGAAUGCGCUCGUUGAUUGUAAUAGGGAGUAAUCCGUUUUGAAUUACCACUGAUUACUGUACAUUGCAAUGGAGUGGAGUGUGAAUAGGAUAUAAGCUAUGAAGCCUAGCUAGUGUACUCUAUGCCUAUUCAAUGAAUUUUACCACUUGAGCACAUAAUUCAUAAAUUUAUUUUUCUAUGAGAUUGUGUCUGUAGCUAAUAAAGGGAAAUCUUCUCUGGUCAUUAAAUUAAAGUACAGUAUUAUGUACUGUAUUGUACAUAAAGGCAAUAUGCAGCCUGGGAAAACAUAAUUAGUAUGCAAUAAUAUUGUUAAUGUACCGGUACUGUAUAGUAUAGAGAUAAAUCAAAUUAUUGAAGUAAUAUCAUGUAAUAAUGUAAAGAUUAUAUUAUCAUUAAUUAAUACUGUUAUCAGUUCUUAUGCAAUGCUAUUAUAUCUAGAGUAGGGCUUUGGGAACACAGCCUACAGUAUGUAUAGUAGGAAGUAUAAUUGAAGAUAAGAUUUAUCACUCAUUCAUAAAUAAAUUUAUAAUGAAAUUUUGAAUCUGGUUUCGAUACCUGCUAACUCUACAUUAAGAAUAAGAUAAAUAAGUCGCCUGCGUACAUAGAACUAAUUGGAAGAUAAAGGCUGUCUGUUACUAAGGUCUGCUUCUAAGGACCUCUUGUAUGUUCGUAAAUCAUAAAUGUUUCACACGGUUGCAGUGUCUAAUAUUCAUACAUGAUUGCGCUGUGGCAGAUGCAAAGUAUGGGUUAACCCUUGAGAUCUACAACAGGAAUGUAGUUAUGGUGGGCUGGGUUACCUAGCCUGGAAGUUUCCUGUUCAGUCAAAGCUAAUAUCAUGGCCCUCCACCCACCUUUGUUAACCCACUUUUCCGUCCUUAAAAUCCACUCUUACUAUUUAGAGUUUACCAAUGUUAUCACCCACCCACCCUUAAAAUUUCUACUAACCACCCUUAGUUUUCUUCAGCUACAACUGUAGCACAAUUUGCCACAACACCUUGUUAGAAAUUUUAAUAAUUCAACAUUUUUGUUUUGUUUUAAAUAUAAUUUGGUAUAAAGCUUAUAGAGGCACUAUGUAGUAUGCACUAUGUUUAUGUAAAUUUGUAUCUAUAGAUGUUCCGGGUGCUCUUCCUUAGGGCAUUGAAUAUAAACAGGCAUGUGCCAUGUGCAACGUUCUCUACACCCCUGGGAAAUAUUCCUAGUCAUGCAGAUAAUUCAGAACCAGACGGAUUUCAUUCUGAAUGGUCCCCAUCCUACUAGGUACCUUAUGAGUGAGGAUAGAGUAACUCAGGCUUAAGUAUAGUAAGCAAUAUUUUGAACCCCAUGACCCCAAGCUUGCGUGACCAAACGACAACUGCUGCCCCUCCAUCCGCUCUCAUAAUAAUAGAAAUUGGUGUAUAACUGGAGCUUAAGGCAGUUAAGAUGCAUGCUUAUUACUCCUAGGAUCGUGGUUCAAACCCUGUCACCGCAGAUUUUUUAUUUCUAACAACUAAAAAGAAAACUCCAUACUCUAAAGUCCUAUGUAAAGAAAUUUAGUUUCUAAAGCAUCAUUCUAUCUUAUAAGUAGUAGGUUAACAUGUUAUUGUUAGAUGUGAAAAAACAAAUAAAAACAAACAAAAAGAAGCCAAACUAUCAAGAAGCCUCUUUAACUAAUUAAGGUAAAACAUAGUGUGCUCACAGGCCAGAAUGUCUCUUUCUUUUUUGUCUUUAUCUUUGGAAAAUUUAACUUCACAGCAUAUGAUGAUAUCAAUCUAUGUGGAGAGAAGCUAGGGUAACUUCUACGCAAGGAUUUCGAACCCUUGACCUCAAAGUUAAAACCACAACCAGCACUAAUCAUAUUCCCACAUAAAACCUAUACAAAAAAAUAAUAAAAAUAGCCUGUUUCCUCCCUCCCCCUCUCCCCAAACAUUUUCAUAACACCUGAUUUUGUGCAAUGACCUAAUACCCAGAUUUUGAAACAUGUCGUACUGUACCACUAUGUAAUAAAAUCAUAAAUCUGA